rnacentral:rRNA from 1 species
GAUGAACGCUGGCGGCGUGCCUAAUACAUGCAAGUCGAGCGAACAGACGAGGAGCUUGCUCCUCUGACGUUAGCGGCGGACGGGUGAGUAACACGUGGAUAACCUACCUAUAAGACUGGGAUAACUUCGGGAAACCGGAGCUAAUACCGGAUAAUAUAUUGAACCGCAUGGUUCAAUAGUGAAAGACGGUUUUGCUGUCACUUAUAGAUGGAUCCGCGCCGCAUUAGCUAGUUGGUAAGGUAACGGCUUACCAAGGCAACGAUGCGUAGCCGACCUGAGAGGGUGAUCGGCCACACCGGAACUGAGACACGGUCCAGACUCCUACGGGAGGCAGCAGUAGGGAAUCUUCCGCAAUGGGCGAAGGCUUGACGGAGCAACGCCGCGUGAGUGAUGAAGGUCUUCGGAUCGUAAAACUCUGUUAUUAGGGAAGAACAAAUGUGUAAGUAACUAUGCACGUCUUGACGGUACCUAAUCAGAAAGCCACGGCUAACUACGUG